UACGUAGGGUGCGAGCGUUGUCCGGAAUUAUUGGGCGUAAAGAGCUUGUAGGCGGUCUGUCGCGUCUGCUGUGAAAAUCCGGGGCUCAACCCCGGACUUGCAGUGGGUACGGGCAGACUAGAGUGUGGUAGGGGAGACUGGAAUUCCUGGUGUAGCGGUGAAAUGCGCAGAUAUCAGGAGGAACACCAAUGGUGAAGGCAGCACUCUGGGACGGUACUGACGCUGAGACGCGAAAGCGUGGGGAGCAAACAGG
rnacentral:rRNA from 1 species